GACGAACGCUGGCGGCGUGCUUAACACAUGCAAGUCGAACGGAAAGGCUCCAGCUUGCUGGAGUCCUCGAGUGGCGAACGGGUGAGUAACACGUGGGUAAUCUGCCCUGCACUCUGGGAUAAGCCCGGGAAACUGGGUCUAAUACUGGAUAUGACCUUUCUCCUUAUGGGGUUUGUUGGAAAGUUUUUCGGUGUAGGAUGAGCCCGCGGCCUAUCAGCUUGUUGGUGGGGUGAUGGCCUACCAAGGCGACGACGGGUAGCCGGCCUGAGAGGGUGAUCGGCCACAUUGGGACUGAGAUACGGCCCAGACUCCUACGGGAGGCAGCAGUGGGGAAUAUUGCACAAUGGGCGGAAGCCUGAUGCAGCGACGCCGCGUGAGGGAUGACGGCCUUCGGGUUGUAAACCUCUUUCAGCAGGGACGAAGCGUAAGUGACGGUACCUGCAGAAGAAGCACCGGCUAACUACGUG
rnacentral:rRNA from 1 species